AGUGAACGCUGGCGGUAGGCCUAACACAUGCAAGUCGAACGGCAGCACAGUAAGAGCUUGCUCUUACGGGUGGCGAGUGGCGGACGGGUGAGGAAUACAUCGGAAUCUACUUUUUCGUGGGGGAUAACGUAGGGAAACUUACGCUAAUACCGCAUACGACCUACGGGUGAAAGCAGGGGAUCUUCUGACCUUGCGCGAUUGAAUGAGCCGAUGUCGGAUUAGCUAGUUGGCGGGGUAAAGGCCCACCAAGGCGACGAUCCGUAGCUGGUCUGAGAGGAUGAUCAGCCACACUGGAACUGAGACACGGUCCAGACUCCUACGGGAGGCAGCAGUGGGGAAUAUUGGACAAUGGGCGAAAGCCUGAUCCAGCAAUACCGCGUGGGUGAAGAAGGCCUUCGGGUUGUAAAGCCCUUUUGUUGGGAAAGAAAAGCAGCAGGUUAAUACCCCGCUGUUCUGACGGUACCCAAAGAAUAAGCACCGGCUAACUUCGUG
rnacentral:rRNA from 1 species